rnacentral:rRNA from 1 species
GACGGAGGGCGCAAGCGUUAUCCGGAUUUACUGGGUUUAAAGGGUGCGUAGGCGGGCAUGUAAGUCAGUGGUGAAAUACCGGAGCUUAACUUCGGAACUGCCAUUGAUACUAUAUGUCUUGAAUAUUGUGGAGGUAAGCGGAAUAUGUCAUGUAGCGGUGAAAUGCAUAGAUAUGACAUAGAACACCGAUUGCGGAGGCAGCUUGCUACACAAAUAUUGACGCUGAGGCACGAAAGCGUGGGGAUCAAACAGG